GUUGCAUAUGCGCUCUCACAAGGUUUGAAGGUGAUCGCUUGUGUUGGCGAGACCCUUGAGCAACGAGAAUCGGGAUCAACUAUGGAUGUAGUUGCAGCACAAACAAAAGCAAUUGCUGAUCGGAUAUCUGACUGGACCAAUGUAGUGUUGGCCUAUGAACCUGUUUGGGCGAUUGGAACUGGCAAAGUUGCAUCCCCAGCUCAGGCCCAGGAAGUUCACAUUAGUUUAAGGAAAUGGCUUAGUGCAAAUGUAAGUGCUGAAGUUGCUGCAUCAACAAGGAUUAUAUAUGGAGGUUCGGUGAGCGGAGGUAACUGCAAGGAACUGGCAGGACAGCCUGAUGUUGAUGGAUUUCUU
rnacentral:misc_RNA from 1 species